rnacentral:rRNA from 1 species
UACAGAGGGCUCAAGCGUUGUUCGGAUUCAUUGGGCGUAAAGGGCUCGUAGGCGGUUUGUUGCGUCGGGAGUGAAAACCCAGGGCUUAACCCUGGGCCUGCUUUCGAUACGGGCGGACUAGAGGUAGUCAGGGGAGAACGGAAUUCCUGGUGUAGCGGUGAAAUGCGCAGAUAUCAGGAGGAACACCAAUGGCGAAAGCAGCUUUCUGGGACGGUACUGACGCUGAGACGCGAAAGCGUGGGGAGCGAACAGG